rnacentral:tRNA from 1 species
GCCGCUUUAGCUCAGAGGUAGAGCAACGCUUUCGUAAAGCGUGGGUCAAGGGUUCGAAUCCCUUAAGCGGCUGCCA